rnacentral:rRNA from 1 species
UACGAAGGGGGCUAGCGUUGCUCGGAAUCACUGGCGUAAAGCGCACGUAGGCGGAUUGCUAAGUCAGGGGUGAAAUCCUGGAGCUCAACUCCAGAACUGCCCUUGAUACUGGCGGUCUCGAGUCCGGGAGAGGUGAGUGGAACUGCGAGUGUAGAGGUGAAAUUCGUAGAUAUUCGCAAGAACACCAGUGGCGAAGGCGGCUCACUGGCCCGGUACUGACGCUGAGGUGCGAAAGCGUGGGG